rnacentral:rRNA from 1 species
CACCUACGGGGGGCAGCAGUGGGGAAUAUUGCACAAUGGGGGAAACCCUGAUGCAGCGACGCCGCGUGAGCGAAGAAGUAUUUCGGUAUGUAAAGCUCUAUCAGCAGGGAAGAAAAAUGACGGUACCUGAGUAAGAAGCACCGGCUAAAUACGUGCCAGCAGCCGCGGUAAUACGUAUGGUGCAAGCGUUAUCCGGAUUUACUGGGUGUAAAGGGAGCGUAGACGGCAGGGCAAGUCUGGAGUGAAAGGCAGGGGCCCAACCCCUGGACUGCUCUGGAAACUGUCCGGCUGGAGUGCAGGAGAGG